rnacentral:lncRNA from 1 species
GCAAUGCUUCUCAGGAACGUCAGCAACGCUUUCGUGGCGUGUAACUCGCAGGUGGUGCUUUGUCAUGGGCCGAGA